GAUGAACGCUGGCGGCGUGCUUAACACAUGCAAGUCGAGCGAAAAUAAUUGAGAGCUUGCUUUUGAUUAUUUUAGCGGCGGACGGGUGAGUAACGUGUGGGUAACCUGCCUUUUACUGUGGAAUAAUCGUUGGAAACGACGACUAAUACCGCAUACGGUUCUUGGAAGGCAUCUUCUAAGAAAGAAAGGAUUUAUUCGGUAAAAGAUGGGCCCGCAUCUGAUUAGCUAGUUGGUGAGAUAAUAGCCCACCAAGGCAACGAUCAGUAGCCGACCUGAGAGGGUGACCGGCCACAUUGGGACUGAGACACGGCCCAA
rnacentral:rRNA from 1 species